rnacentral:tmRNA from 1 species
GGGGGUGCUUUGGUUUCGACAGGAUUCCAGACGCGCUAGUUGCAUGCCGAGGUGGGCUGGCCUCGUAAAAAAGCCUAAAAAAGUUAAUCGGCAACGAUUACGCUCUCGCUGCUUAAGCAGCGACCGAACCUUUCCUCGCUCCUGCCGGGGAAGCAAUUUGGACGUAAUGCGGGAUAGAGUUUUGCGCCUGCCUUAACGCAAAGCUUGAACCUCCAAGGCUAGCUCUUGUUAUGCGCCAACCUUUAUGGGCGUUUUCAAAAGCGAACCUUUAAAUACAAAGGAAACGCAUGUAUGAGCGAACGCAGAAGGAUUCUUGGACAGGGGUUCGAAUCCCCUCACCUCCAAUA